rnacentral:rRNA from 1 species
AGCAACAAAUGCCCUGCUUCCAGGAAAAGCCUCUAAGCAUCAGGUAACAUCAAAUCGUACCCCAAACCGACACAGGUGGUCAGGUAGAGAAUACCAAGGCGCUUGAGAGAACUCGGGUGAAGGAACUAGGCAAAAUGGUGCCGUAACUUCGGGAGAAGGCACGCUGACACGUAGGUGAAGUGGUUUACCCAUGGAGCUGAAGUCAGUCGAAGAUACCAGCUGGCUGCAACUGUUUAUUAAAAACACAGCACUGUGCAAACACGAAAGUGGACGUAUACGGUGUGACGCCUGCCCGGUGCCGGAAGGUUAAUUGAUGGGGUCAGCGCAAGCGAAGCUCCUGAUCGAAGCCCCGGUAAACGGCGGCCGUAACUAUAACGGUCCUAAGGUAGCGAAAUUCCUUGUCGGGUAAGUUCCGACCUGCACGAAUGGCGUAAUGAUGGCCAGGCUGUCUCCACCCGAGACUCAGUGAAAUUGAACUCGCUGUGAAGAUGCAGUGUACCCGCGGCAAGACGGAAAGACCCCGUGAACCUUUACUAUAGCUUGACACUGAACAUUGAGCCUUGAUGUGUAGGAUAGGUGGGAGGCUUUGAAGCGUGGACGCCAGUCUGCGUGGAGCCGACCUUGAAAUACCACCCUUUAAUGUUUGAUGUUCUAACGUGGACCCGUAAUCCGGGUUGCGGACAGUGUCUGGUGGGUAGUUUGACUGGGGCGGUCUCCUCCUAAAGAGUAACGGAGGAGCACGAAGGUUGGCUAAUCCUGGUCGGACAUCAGGAGGUUAGUGCAAUGGCAUAAGCCAGCUUGACUGCGAGCGUGACGGCGCGAGCAGGUGCGAAAGCAGGUCAUAGUGAUCCGGUGGUUCUGAAUGGAAGGGCCAUCGCUCAACGGAUAAAAGGUACUCCGGGGAUAACAGGCUGAUACCGCCCAAGAGUUCAUAUCGACGGCGGUGUUUGGCACCUCGAUGUCGGCUCAUCACAUCCUGGGGCUGAAGUAGGUCCCAAGGGUAUGGCUGUUCGCCAUUUAAAGUGGUACGCGAGCUGGGUUUAGAACGUCGUGAGACAGUUCGGUCCCUAUCUGCCGUGGGCGCUGGAGAACUGAGGGGGGCUGCUCCUAGUACGAGAGGACCGGAGUGGACGCAUCACUGGUGUUCGGGUUGUCAUGCCAAUGGCACUGCCCGGUAGCUAAAUGCGGAAGAGAUAAGUGCUGAAAGCAUCUAAGCACGAAACUUGCCCCGAGAUGAGUUCUCCCUGAGACUUAGAGUCUCCUGAAGGAACGUUGAAGACGACGACGUUGAUAGGCCGGGUGUGUAAGCGCAGCGAUGCGUUGAGCUAACCGGUACUAAUGAACCGUGAGGCUUAACCUUACAACGCCGAAGCUGUU